GGUUCAGUGGUUAUAGUUAAGUUUUUGUGUUUUGGUCUGUUUUUCUCAUACUUUAUGCAAUAGAUCUACUAUAUUUGUUGUAUGGAAUGAUUGUAAGAUGUACAUGUCUAGCGGGCAGAUGUCAUCUGACCUUGACCUCAUUUUCAUGGUUGAGUGGUCAAAGUUAAGUUUUUGAGUUUUGGUCUUUUUAUCUAAUACUAUAUGCCAUAGGUCAACUAUAUUUGGUGUAUGGAAAUAUUUUAUGAUCUAUAUGUCAGUCCCGCAG
rnacentral:lncRNA from 1 species